rnacentral:rRNA from 1 species
AACGUAGGUACCGAGCGUUAUCCGGAUUUACUGGGCGUAAAGCGUGUUCAGGCGGCCUGGCAAGUCGGGCAUGAAAUCUCUCGGCUCAACCGAGAGAGGCUGUCCGAUACUGCUGGGCUUGAGGACGGUAGAGGGUGGUGGAAUUCCGCGUGUAGUGGUGAAAUGCGUAGAUAUGCGGAGGAACACCAGUGGCGAAGGCGGCCACCUGGACCGUCCCUGACGCUCAAACACGAAAGCUAGGGUAGCGAACGGGAUUAGAAACCCCGGUAGUCCUAGCCGUAAACGAUGUUGACUGGGUGUCAGAGGUGUAAAACCCUUUGGUGCCGGAGCAAACGCGUUAAGUCAACCGCCUGGGGACUACGGCCGCAAGGUUAAA